GUAAUACGGAGGGGGUUAGCGUUGUUCGGAAUUACUGGGCGUAAAGCGCACGUAGGCGGAUUGGAAAGUUGGGGGUGAAAUCCCGGGGCUCAACCCCGGAACUGCCUCCAAAACUAUCAGUCUAGAGUUCGAGAGAGGUGAGUGGAAUUCCAAGUGUAGAGGUGAAAUUCGUAGAUAUUUGGAGGAACACCAGUGGCGAAGGCGGCUCACUGGCUCGAUACUGACGCUGAGGUGCGAAAGUGUGGGGAGCAAACAGGAUUAGAUACCCUGGUAGUCCACACCGUAAACGAUGAAUGCCAGUCGUCGGGCAGUAUACUGUUCGGUGACACACCUAACGGAUUAAGCAUUCCGCCUGGGGAGUACGGUCGCAAGAUUAAAACUCAAAGGAAUUGACGGA
rnacentral:rRNA from 1 species